AAACACACCUCAUCCUUCACACACACAACAUGCUCAACCUUCACUAGCCACGUGACUUUCUUUUCCACAUCAUCCUGAAUUUGCUUUUCUGAAAUUUACUUUUCAAUCUUCUGACUUUUCUUCAUACAUAACAAGAUUGGACAAAGUGCUUGAAAAGCAAAUGGAAACAUUUUAUGAAUAACUCCCAAAAGGGAAGACAUACAAAUAUUUUUAAAGUUUCCCUUCCACAGAAAUGAGCUUAAGUCAACACUACAGUUGCCACUAAGUGUAAGGAUUCGUGAAGGGGAAAACGACAGACUCCAUUCCCUCUGUUCUGCUCAAGUAAUGCAAAUUAGAGUGCCUGGAAUAAGGGGACCAAGGCCUGAGAUCAAGGAUAAAGUGGUGUCCGCCAACAACCUCUUGUGUUUUGAUCACCAUCAUUAUUCUAAUAAAGGAAGCUGAAAGUUGUAUUAC
rnacentral:antisense_RNA from 1 species